CCCCCCCCCCCCCCCCCCCCCCCCCCUUUUAAAUGACUUUUUUUUUUUUUUUUUUUAAAUACUGCCUGCCCUCUUCUCCCUCAAGACAAAAGAGAGUCUCUUUCGAUUUGAAAUGCAAUGUCCUAAGAAAUUUUCUGGCAGAAGCACUUGUGCUGGAUAAUGACAUAUCAGCUCAUGCCCAGAAUGUUGCCAAGGCCAAAUAUGAAUUUUUAUUUGGCUUGGAAGAAGAGAAACCUUCAGGAAUGGGUAGUGGCCGUGGAAGCAGCAGUUUGCCUCCUCACACCACCAUCAAUGAAUUUCCAGAGUACGGCAGCGUAGAGUCAAGCAGACAGGCGGCGGGGGCCCCGCCCGUGACGCGCAGCCCCGAAGGACGGGACGGCCACCACCGCGCCCGGCCCGGGCCUCCGCGCGCGGCCCCUGCCCCCCCCCCCCCCCCCCCCCCCCCCCCCCCCCCCCCCCCCCCCCCCCCCCCCCCCCCCCCCCCCCCCCCCCCCCCCCCCCCCCCCCCCCCCCCCCCCCCCCCCCCCCCCCCCCCCCCCCCCCCCCCCCCCC
rnacentral:lncRNA from 1 species